rnacentral:sRNA from 1 species
UUAUUUUUUGACAAUUUUAUCAUGUCUUUUUAAACAAUUAAGGAAUGCAGACCUCUAUUGUUUCUUCUUUUUGAGGUUGUGAUUCUUUCUCUGUGGGUGCAGUCCCAUUAGCUUCUUGAUCUUCAGUCUCAUCAUGUUCAUCAUGUUCUUCUACGUUUUCUUCUUUUGGAACCUGUAAACCAAAACAUCAAAACAAAAAUUUAUUUUUUGACAAUUUUAUCAUGUCUUUUUAAAAAGUUAAGGAAAGGAGACCUUUGUUUCUUUUUUU